rnacentral:rRNA from 1 species
GACGAACGCUGGCGGCGUGCUUAACACAUGCGAGUCGAACGGAAAGGCCCUGCUUUUGUGGGGUGCUCGAGUGGCGAACGGGUGAGUAACACGUGAGUAACCUGCCCUUGACUUUGGGAUAACUUCAGGAAACUGGGGCUAAUACCGGAUAGGAGCUCCUGCUGCAUGGUGGGGGUUGGAAAGUUUCGGCGGUUGGGGAUGGACUCGCGGCUUAUCAGCUUGUUGGUGGGGUAGUGGCUUACCAAGGCUUUGACGGGUAGCCGGCCUGAGAGGGUGACCGGCCACAAUGGUACUGAGAGACGGCGCAGACGCCUACGGGAGGCAGCGGGGGAGAAUAUUGCAGAGUGGGCGGAAGCCUGAUGCAGCAACGCCGCGUGCGGGAUGACGGCCUUCGGGUUGUAAACCGCUUUCGCCUGUGACGAAGCGUGAGUGACGGUAAUGGGUAAAGAAGCACCGGCUAACUACGUG